rnacentral:rRNA from 1 species
ACGAACGCUGGCGGCGUGCCUAAUACAUGCAAGUCGAACGCUUCUUUUUCCACCGGAGCUUGCUCCACCGGAAAAAGAGGAGUGGCGAACGGGUGAGUAACACGUGGGUAACCUGCCCAUCAGAAGGGGAUAACACUUGGAAACAGGUGCUAAUACCGUAUAACAAUCGAAACCGCAUGGUUUUGAUUUGAAAGGCGCUUUCGGGUGUCGCUGAUGGAUGGACCCGCGGUGCAUUAGCUAGUUGGUGAGGUAACGGCUCACCAAGGCGACGAUGCAUAGCCGACCUGAGAGGGUGAUCGGCCACAUUGGGACUGAGACACGGCCCAAACUCCUACGGGAGGCAGCAGUAGGGAAUCUUCGGCAAUGGACGAAAGUCUGACCGAGCAACGCCGCGUGAGUGAAGAAGGUUUUCGGAUCGUAAAACUCUGUUGUUAGAGAAGAACAAGGAUGAGAGUAACUGUUCAUCCCUUGACGGUAUCUAACCAGAAAGCCACGGCUAACUACGUGCCAGCAGCCGCGGUAAUACGUAGGUGGCAAGCGUUGUCCGGAUUUAUUGGGCGUAAAGCGAGCGCAGGCGGUUUCUUAAGUCUGAUGUGAAAGCCCCCGGCUCAACCGGGGGGGGUCAUUGGAAACUGGGAGACUUGAGUGCAGAAGAGGAGAGUGGAAUUCCAUGUGUAGCGGUGAAAUGCGUAGAUAUAUGGAGGAACACCAGUGGCGAAGGCGGCUCUCUGGUCUGUAACUGACGCUGAGGCUCGAAAGCGUGGGGAGCAAACAGGAUUAGAUACCCUGGUAGUCCACGCCGUAAACGAUGAGUGCUAAGUGUUGGAGGGUUUCCGCCCUUCAGUGCUGCAGCUAACGCAUUAAGCACUCCGCCUGGGGAGUACGACCGCAAGGUUGAAACUCAAAGGAAUUGACGGGGGCCCGCACAAGCGGUGGAGCAUGUGGUUUAAUUCGAAGCAACGCGAAGAACCUUACCAAAUCUUGACAUCCCUCUGACCGGCUCUUAAUCGAGUCUUUCCUUCGGGACAGAGGUGACAGGUGGUGCAUGGUUGUCGUCAGCUCGUGUCGUGAGAUGUUGGGUUAAGUCCCGCAACGAGCGCAACCCCUAUUGUUAGUUGCUACGCAAGAGCACUCUAGCGAGACUGCCGUUGACAAAACGGAGGAAGGUGGGGACGACGUCAAAUCAUCAUGCCCCUUAUGACCUGGGCUACACACGUGCUACAAUGGGAAGUACAACGAGUCGCAAAGUCGCGAGGCUAAGCUAAUCUCUUAAAGCUUCUCUCAGUUCGGAUUGUAGGCUGCAACUCGCCUACAUGAAGCCGGAAUCGCUAGUAAUCGCGGAUCAGCACGCCGCGGUGAAUACGUUCCCGGGCCUUGUACACACCGCCCGUCACACCACGAGAGUUUGUAACACCCGAAGUCGGUGAGGUAACCUUUUGGAGCCAGCCGCCUAAGGUGGGAUAGAUGAUUGGGGUG